rnacentral:rRNA from 1 species
UACGGAGGGGACUAGCGUUGUUCGGAAUUACUGGGCGUAAAGCGCACGUAGGCGGAUUUGUAAGUCAGGGGUGAAAUCCCGGGGCUCAACCUCGGAACUGCCUUUGAUACUGCAAAUCUCGAGUCCGGAAGAGGUGAGUGGAAUUCCUAGUGUAGAGGUGAAAUUCGUAGAUAUUAGGAAGAACACCAGUGGCGAAGGCGGCUCACUGGUCCGGUACUGACGCUGAGGUGCGAGAGCGUGGGGAGCAAACAGG